AUCCACGAGGAUAUACUUAUUUUCUUGUCCUGGUUCUCUUUUCUUCUCCAGCUCCUCCAGAAGGAUCUUUCCUCCAUUCCGCAUUUUUUUGUUUUCACCCGAUGACACGACGUUGAAUCCCUCGUCAAUUUCUCGACGAUGUCACCACCGACCACCAUCACCAACUCACCACAACUCCCCAAGCACCAUCUAACUCGUUGUGUAGCAGGAUUUGUGGAAGAAUUCUUCGAUUCCAGCAAGGAGAUGAGGAUCGACGAUUUUCGAGUGCUUUUGGCCGUUUUUCGGCAUAUCCAACCACAAAUUCAACAUAAGGAAGGUGGAUUUAUGUUAGCAAAUUAAUUGUUUUGUUAGAAGAUAUCAAGCAAAUACUGACACUCCCUGAUCCGGAAAAUCCACCUAGACUUCAAAUCGAGCUGUGCUGGUCGACACCAGGAGGGUGACGAAGCCAUAAGUGUAGUGAUGUGGAAAAUGUGAAUAAAUUUAAACCUAAAAGUACCUAAAUACAAGAGUGCUUGUGAGCGGGAA